rnacentral:rRNA from 1 species
GGUUAAGCGACUAAGCGUACACGGUGGAUGCCCUGGCAGUCAGAGGCGAUGAAGGACGUGCUAAUCUGCGAUAAGCGUCGGUAAGGUGAUAUGAACCGUUAUAACCGGCGAUUUCCGAAUGGGGAAACCCAGUGUGUUUCGACACACUAUCAUUAACUGAAUCCAUAGGUUAAUGAGGCGAACCGGGGGAACUGAAACAUCUAAGUACCCCGAGGAAAAGAAAUCAACCGAGAUUCCCCCAGUAGCGGCGAGCGAACGGGGAGCAGCCCAGAGCCUGAAUCAGUGUGUGUGUUAGUGGAAGCGUCUGGAAAGGCGUGCGAUACAGGGUGACAGCCCCGUACACAAAAAUGCACAUGCUGUGAGCUCGAUGAGUAGGGCGGGACACGUGGUAUCCUGUCUGAAUAUGGGGGGACCAUCCUCCAAGGCUAAAUACUCCUGACUGACCGAUAGUGAACCAGUACCGUGAGGGAAAGGCGAAAAGAACCCCGGCGAGGGGAGUGAAAAAGAACCUGAAACCGUGUACGUACAAGCAGUGGGAGCACGCUUAGGCGUGUGACUGCGUACCUUUUGUAUAAUGGGUCAGCGACUUAUAUUCUGUAGCAAGGUUAACCGAAUAGGGGAGCCGAAGGGAAACCGAGUCUUAACUGGGCGUUAAGUUGCAGGGUAUAGACCCGAAACCCGGUGAUCUAGCCAUGGGCAGGUUGAAGGUUGGGUAACACUAACUGGAGGACCGAACCGACUAAUGUUGAAAAAUUAGCGGAUGACUUGUGGCUGGGGGUGAAAGGCCAAUCAAACCGGGAGAUAGCUGGUUCUCCCCGAAAGCUAUUUAGGUAGCGCCUCGUGAAUUCAUCUCCGGGGGUAGAGCACUGUUUCGGCAAGGGGGUCAUCCCGACUUACCAACCCGAUGCAAACUGCGAAUACCGGAGAAUGUUAUCACGGGAGACACACGGCGGGUGCUAACGUCCGUCGUGAAGAGGGAAACAACCCAGACCGCCAGCUAAGGUCCCAAAGUCAUGGUUAAGUGGGAAACGAUGUGGGAAGGCCCAGACAGCCAGGAUGUUGGCUUAGAAGCAGCCAUCAUUUAAAGAAAGCGUAAUAGCUCACUGGUCGAGUCGGCCUGCGCGGAAGAUGUAACGGGGCUAAACCAUGCACCGAAGCUGCGGCAGCGACGCUGAUGCGUUGUUGGGUAGGGGAGCGUUCUGUAAGCCUGCGAAGGUGUGCUGUGAGGCAUGCUGGAGGUAUCAGAAGUGCGAAUGCUGACAUAAGUAACGAUAAAGCGGGUGAAAAGCCCGCUCGCCGGAAGACCAAGGGUUCCUGUCCAACGUUAAUCGGGGCAGGGUGAGUCGACCCCUAAGGCGAGGCCGAAAGGCGUAGUCGAUGGGAAACAGGUUAAUAUUCCUGUACUUGGUGUUACUGCGAAGGGGGGACGGAGAAGGCUAUGUUGGCCGGGCGACGGUUGUCCCGGUUUAAGCGUGUAGGCUGGUUUUCCAGGCAAAUCCGGAAAAUCAAGGCUGAGGCGUGAUGACGAGGCACUACGGUGCUGAAGCAACAAAUGCCCUGCUUCCAGGAAAAGCCUCUAAGCAUCAGGUAACAUCAAAUCGUACCCCAAACCGACACAGGUGGUCAGGUAGAGAAUACCAAGGCGCUUGAGAGAACUCGGGUGAAGGAACUAGGCAAAAUGGUGCCGUAACUUCGGGAGAAGGCACGCUGAUAUGUAGGUGAAGUCCCUUGCGGAUGGAGCUGAAAUCAGUCGAAGAUACCAGCUGGCUGCAACUGUUUAUUAAAAACACAGCACUGUGCAAACACGAAAGUGGACGUAUACGGUGUGACGCCUGCCCGGUGCCGGAAGGUUAAUUGAUGGGGUCAGCGCAAGCGAAGCUCUUGAUCGAAGCCCCGGUAAACGGCGGCCGUAACUAUAACGGUCCUAAGGUAGCGAAAUUCCUUGUCGGGUAAGUUCCGACCUGCACGAAUGGCGUAAUGAUGGCCAGGCUGUCUCCACCCGAGACUCAGUGAAAUUGAACUCGCUGUGAAGAUGCAGUGUACCCGCGGCAAGACGGAAAGACCCCGUGAACCUUUACUAUAGCUUGACACUGAACAUUGAGCCUUGAUGUGUAGGAUAGGUGGGAGGCUUUGAAGUGUGGACGCCAGUCUGCAUGGAGCCGACCUUGAAAUACCACCCUUUAAUGUUUGAUGUUCUAACGUUGACCCGUAAUCCGGGUUGCGGACAGUGUCUGGUGGGUAGUUUGACUGGGGCGGUCUCCUCCUAAAGAGUAACGGAGGAGCACGAAGGUUGGCUAAUCCUGGUCGGACAUCAGGAGGUUAGUGCAAUGGCAUAAGCCAGCUUGACUGCGAGCGUGACGGCGCGAGCAGGUGCGAAAGCAGGUCAUAGUGAUCCGGUGGUUCUGAAUGGAAGGGCCAUCGCUCAACGGAUAAAAGGUACUCCGGGGAUAACAGGCUGAUACCGCCCAAGAGUUCAUAUCGACGGCGGUGUUUGGCACCUCGAUGUCGGCUCAUCACAUCCUGGGGCUGAAGUAGGUCCCAAGGGUAUGGCUGUUCGCCAUUUAAAGUGGUACGCGAGCUGGGUUUAGAACGUCGUGAGACAGUUCGGUCCCUAUCUGCCGUGGGCGCUGGAGAACUGAGGGGGGCUGCUCCUAGUACGAGAGGACCGGAGUGGACGCAUCACUGGUGUUCGGGUUGUCAUGCCAAUGGCACUGCCCGGUAGCUAAAUGCGGAAGAGAUAAGUGCUGAAAGCAUCUAAGCACGAAACUUGCCCCGAGAUGAGUUCUCCCUGACUCCUUGAGAGUCCUGAAGGAACGUUGAAGACGACGACGUUGAUAGGCCGGGUGUGUAAGCGCAGCGAUGCGUUGAGCUAACCGGUACUAAUGAACCGUGAGGCUUAACCUU